rnacentral:rRNA from 2 species
UAGGGAAUCUUCCGCAAUGGGCGAAAGCCUGACGGAGCAACGCCGCGUGAGUGAUGAAGGUCUUCGGAUCGUAAAACUCUGUUAUUAGGGAAGAACAAAUGUGUAAGUAACUAUGCACGUCUUGACGGUACCUAAUCAGAAAGCCACGGCUAACUACGUGCCAGCAGCCGCGGUAAUACGUAGGUGGCAAGCGUUAUCCGGAAUUAUUGGGCGUAAAGCGCGCGUAGGCGGUUUUUUAAGUCUGAUGUGAAAGCCCACGGCUCAACCGUGGAGGGUCAUUGGAAACUGGAAAACUUGAGUGCAGAAGAGGAAAGUGGAAUUCCAUGUGUAGCGGUGAAAUGCGCAGAGAUAUGGAGGAACACCAGUGGCGAAGGCGACUUUCUGGUCUGUAUCUGACGCUGAUGUGCGAAAGCGUGGGGAUCAAACAGG